rnacentral:rRNA from 1 species
GAUGAACGCUGGCGGCGUGCCUAACACAUGCAGGUCGAGCGUGAUUUAUGAGGACGAAACUUCGGUCUAGGAAUCAUAAUGAAAGCGGCGGACGGGUGAGUAACGCGUAGGCAACCUGCCCUUGACACAGGGAUAGCCUCGGGAAACCGGGAUUAAAACCUGAUGACGCCAAACAGUCACAUGGCUGUUUGGCCAAAGAUUUAUCGGUCAAGGAUGGGCCUGCGUCUGAUUAGUUAGUUGGUGGGGUAACGGCCUACCAAGACGACGAACAGUAGCCGACCGGGGAGGGGGAUCGGCCACAGUGGAACUGAGACACGGUCCAAACUCCUACGGGAGGCAGCAGUGGGGAAUAUUGCACAAUGGGCGAAAGCCUGAUGCAGCAACGCCGCGUGAGCGAUGAAGGCCUUUGGGUCGUAAAGCUCUGUCCUUGGGGAAGAAACAAAUGACGGUACCCAAGGAGGAAGCCCCGGCUAACUACGUGCCAGCAGCCGCGGUAAUAC